CUGGCUCAGGACGAACGCUGGCGGCGUGCCUAAUACAUGCAAGUCGAACGCUUCUUUCCUCCCGAGUGCUUGCACUCAAUUGGAAAGAGGAGUGGCGGACGGGUGAGUAACACGUGGGUAACCUACCCAUCAGAGGGGGAUAACACUUGGAAACAGGUGCUAAUACCGCAUAACAGUUUAUGCCGCAUGGCAUAAGAGUGAAAGGCGCUUUCGGGUGUCGCUGAUGGAUGGACCCGCGGUGCAUUAGCUAGUUGGUGAGGUAACGGCUCACCAAGGCCACGAUGCAUAGCCGACCUGAGAGGGUGAUCGGCCACACUGGGACUGAGACACGGCCCAGACUCCUACGGGAGGCAGCAGUAGGGAAUCUUCGGCAAUGGACGAAAGUCUGACCGAGCAACGCCGCGUGAGUGAAGAAGGUUUUCGGAUCGUAAAACUCUGUUGUUAGAGAAGAACAAGGACGUUAGUAACUGAACGUCCCCUGACGGUAUCUAACCAGAAAGCCACGGCUAACUACGUGCCAGCAGCCGCGGUAAUACGUAGGUGGCAAGCGUUGUCCGGAUUUAUUGGGCGUAAAGCGAGCGCAGGCGGUUUCUUAAGUCUGAUGUGAAAGCCCCCGGCUCAACCGGGGAGGGUCAUUGGAAACUGGGAGACUUGAGUACAGAAGAGGAGAGUGGAAUUCCAUGUGUAGCGGUGAAAUGCGUAGAUAUAUGGAGGAACACCAGUGGCGAAGGCGGCUCUCUGGUCUGUAACUGACGCUGAGGCUCGAAAGCGUGGGGAGCAAACUGUAUUAGAUACCCUGGUAGUCCACGCCGUAAACCAUGACCUCUGUGUGUAUAUUUUUUCCCCCCCUCACACACUCAACUCAAAGGAAUGACGUG
rnacentral:rRNA from 1 species